GGUAAGGAAGUUGCGUCUUUCUACCGAUAAUGGUUGGCACCGAUUCGUGACUUCCUGAAACCAUGAUGUCAAAAAAAGAUUGCGAAAUAGACUUUCCAUCACCGGAGUUUUCUAUUCUUCUGUGAUUACUUAAUCAUGGCCUAGAAUUACUUCGCGCAUUAUGACAAGGAUGAGUGGCUGCUAUGUUCGAACACAAGUACUUGUUGAAAUAAGCAGCAUAUUUCCCAGCAAGAGGACUCCCGAUACCACCAGUAGGUAAACCUCAAUCUGGACUGAAGGCGAAACAUUUGUGAAGCGUGGAAGAUAAGAAUCAGAGGAGAAUAACAGGAAGAAUGCGUGAGUGACUAUCCUAGCCCCUCGCGGGGCAAGGAUAGUCGUCCGCCGGAUAAUCAAACAGGAAGAGUGAUAUUUCCUGCGCAACCGUUGUCCGCAGCUAAGUAAAAACUGGGGAGCAUCUGAAAGAUUGUUGGCGCCCAUAUAAAUAUUUAUAAAUAAAGGCUGC